rnacentral:rRNA from 1 species
GACGAACGCUGGCGGCGUGCCUAACACAUGCAAGUCGAACGGGGUGAUUCCUUCGGGGAUCACUUAGUGGCGAACGGGUGAGUAACGCGUGAGGAACCUGCCUUUCAGUGGGGGACAACAGUUGGAAACGACUGCUAAUACCGCAUAACAUGUACGGAUCGCAUGGUCUGUACAUCAAAGCUUUAUGUGCUGAAAGAUGGCCUCGCGUCUGAUUAGCUAGUUGGUGGGGUAACGGCCCACCAAGGCGACGAUCAGUAGCCGGUCUGAGAGGAUGAACGGCCACAUUGGGACUGAGAUACGGCCCAGACUCCUACGGGAGGCAGCAGUGGGGAAUAUUGCACAAUGGGCGAAAGCCUGAUGCAGCAACGCCGCGUGAAGGAAGAAGGUACUUCGGAGUCGUAAACUUACUGUCCUUAGGAAGAUAAUGACGGUACCUUUGGAGGAAGCCCCGGCUAACUACGUG